ACAGGGACAGACGGCAAGUGAAUUCAAAGUCGCGCAAAAAACAAUACUGUGAAAUAGUUAUUACGUUUUUUUAAUUGUGUAAUCAACACGUCAUCCUGAGUAUAAUGGUCUUAACCUUAUAAUAAAUAUAUAAAAUGGAAAUAAUUCACAACAGUUUUUAAAAAUAUUUACAAAUAAUAUGAAUUUACACUAUAAAACUACAUUCACAAAAUUUUCGUGUUAAAUGCUAACACCUUCAUGCGGUCUUUGUGUAGUGCAAUACGUAAUAAUUCGGCAUUAUUAACUGCAAAAAAUAAUCCAGGAGGAGGCGGCCGAGGAUACGGGAUAAGUCUUGGUGGUCGAGGUAUGAAACCUAUCCGAGGCGCUAUUAUUCCUACGGGUGGUCUUGGUGGAAAAAUUGGCGGAUGAGGUCGAUAUGGAUACAUUGGGUGCGGCCAUAUCGGCGGAAUUGGAGGUCUAACGAUAUAAGCAACCGGAGCUCCAUUUGGCAUUUUCAGAAUCUUCGUCGAGCUCUUCUUCGUGUUGUGAUCUUUCUGACUCUUCGUAUGAGUCUUGACGCGAUGAAUGCGAAUAGUCUUCGCUUUCCUGUCUGCUGUCUCGACUGUAUCGUCUUCUAUCCGAUCUUGAGGUUCAUGGACGCACUUCUGCGAGAAAAUUGGCUGCUGCCUUCAUCAAUGCGAGAUCUCUCACGUCUACAAUCUCUGGACGAAUUUCUUCUUCGGUCUCUCAAUCUGUCUCUGAAAAACGAGACUUAACAAACGCUGCUCCAAUCUUGGAAUUUUUUGGACACCGUCAAUGAUGGAAAGAUAUGCCAUCUCCGAAUAAUUCAAGAAACAGUAAAUUCGAAUAUUGUUAAGUAAAGUAAGAAGUGGUUAUUAUGACGUGGUAAAUUUAUCAAGAUCGCUUGAAAAUUUCCAUUUCAACAUUGAACAGAGGAUAACAAGUAACUCACAAUUACGUGGGUUUAAUAAUUUUACUUUAAAAUUCAUUUAAAUACUUAUUUGAGAAAUUCAACACGAAAUUAAUUAUCACAAGUUGAAAGUAUAAAAAUUGAAUUGAAUAUGAAAUUUUAUUUUCUAUUGCGUUACAGUUAUUAUUUCGAAUAAUUCUGAUUGAAGUAUGUUUUGACUUUCAAUUCAACAAUGUUUCUAUUAUUUCUUUUUUACGUUACUUUUUCAUUUAAUAAUGUUAUUGUCUUUUCGAGACAUGAGAAUUACUCAUGCAAAUUCACUUCCCUUAAUUUACAUUCUUCAAAUUUAAGGAUGUUUGCAGAAAGAGCAACUACUGCUGUUACUUUCAAAAUUAAAUAAUUAUGAGAAUUCUAUAAUUAAAACUCACUCCGUUCGUAUCGAUCAUGAUCGCUAGAACUGGAAUUACGAGAUUUUCUAUCUCCUAAGCAACAAUAAUAAGAUACAUAAUCGUAAAUAAAACUAUAAUUAACCUCAGUCUUUGUUGAAUAAAAUAUUAAUCGUAUUGAAUACCUCGAGGAUGAACAGUCACUAUACGAGUGGCACUAGUUUGACGAACUGGAGAACAGCUAGGUUUGGAAUUCACCGAUAUUUGUAUAUUAGAAUCCAAAACAAGAGGUUCUUUCGGGCCUCCAUAAGCUGGUUUUGUCAAUUUUACACUUUCUUCGAGUCUGUUAGAAUGUUGAAAAGUGAUAAUUAUAAAAAAUUACAGAUCAGUGAUCUAAUAGAUUAUAAUAAUUAAUGUACCUUGAUUUAUGUCCUUCGGAAGAAUGAGAUCUCUGCCUAGAACGCGAAUUCGUUCUGCGGAAUCGGUCCUCUCGGCGCGGACUUCUAUAAUUUAUUAAUUAGAAAUCAAAACAUUUAAGUACAUAGGGUCGAUUUGAUCAGUGAAAUUUGAUACUGAAAAUUAAUUUGAACAUUACCUUUUCGAUCUAGAAGAACUUGAAACGUGACUACUAUGAGUAGACGACGAUGCACGAUGAUGAAUCGGACUUCUGCUUCUCAUCCGACCUCUGUAAUUGUAUAGAUAUAGAAAGACUUUCAAUAUUAUGAAACAAAACGAACACUCCUUACCUGUUGGGAGGAGAUGUGUAUGCAGCUAUAUGCUCAUAUUCUUCUGUCGAUGAUGAUCUCAUUUCUCGUCCCAUUGUUAAGAAAACACUACUGAAUACUUAUUAAUAAUAAUAAAAGAGACAAUUUCUAAAAACUGAGGACAAUGUUCAGUGAUAAGUUAAAACAAUAACACUGGACACUGUAUCGUUCUCGAAUGUAACUUUUAAAGGGCAUUUUCACAUGAAAAAUGUUUCAUAAAUUAUCAUUCAAUGAACUAUACUAUUGAGAAUAAUUCAAAAUUGAAUUAUAUACAGGCUCAUAAAAUAAUGCGUGCCUAUCAUUUAAAAAUAUUAUUGUAUUUUCUUUUUAAAAAAAGCAACCAUAACAAGAGACGGAUUCUCUCUAAACUGUGAUCAAUGACGUCACUAGUCGAUCAAUAUGACGCUCAGGCUCAAAGCUUCCAUGCAUUUUUACAUAUUUUCAGAAAUUGAAAUAAUUAUUUUGUAAAUUGUAAUUGUAAUUGACAAUUUUUCGUUUUAAUAUUUAUCAUUUAAGACGUCAUCGAUGCAUAUUAUACCUAAUAUUGUAUUAAAUUGUUCUAAAUAAGUAUUUUUAGAUACAAUUGAAUGAUCGAAUGGAUUGCCAUUCCAAUGUGCCUAACAAGAGUACAUAACAAAAUACAAUCGUUUUUUUGAAUUCA